rnacentral:rRNA from 1 species
UGGGGAAUUUUGGACAAUGGGCGCAAGCCUGAUCCAGCCAUGCCGCGUGCGGGAAGAAGGCCUUCGGGUUGUAAACCGCUUUUGUCAGGGAAGAAGUCUUCUGAGUUAAUACCUCGGGAGGAUGACGGUACCUGAAGAAUAAGCACCGGCUAACUACGUGCCAGCAGCCGCGGUAAUACGUAGGGGUGCAAGCGUUAACCGGAAUUACUGGGCGUAAAGCGUGCGCAGGCGGUUUUGUAAGACAGAGGUGAAAUCCCCGGGCUCAACCUGGGAACUGCCUUUGUGACUGCAAGGCUUGAGUGCGGCAGAGGGGGAUGGAAUUCCGCGUGUAGCAGUGAAAUGCGUAGAUAUGCGGAGGAAACACCGAUGGCGAAGGCAAUCCCCUGGGCCUGCACUGACGCUCAUGCACG